rnacentral:SRP_RNA from 1 species
UUCCGGGCUCCGUGCAAUAGGCGGUCGCGAACCCCGCCAGGUCCGGAAGGAAGCAACGGUAGUGAUUUACCCUGUGUGCCGCGGAUCACCCGGGGCUU